rnacentral:tRNA from 1 species
GGGGUUGUAGCUCAGUGGUAGAGCACUCACCUCACAUGUGUAAGGCACUAGGUUCAAUCCUCAGCUCCA